UCGUGCCGUACUUGCACGUCCCCUGCACGUCUGCAAAUUCAGGGGAGCACAUCAGCCGGCAGAAUUGGCUGAAACUCUCAGGCCCGAGCUGGCCUCGAUCUGUCGUCCGACUCUGACUGAACUCACCUUGGCCUUUGGCCACCACCACCACGGCCUCACACUCUCCGGCGAAGUCCUUGGCGUCGACGUAGCGCUUCGCCUUCAGACAGCGUCGAUCUCGCCAUGAUUGUACCUUAACAAUGUCGGCCCAGCGGUCGGCGGAGUAGUCCGUGGGGUCGAGCGCAUUCAGGCCGCCGGCGAGGAUGUGGUGGCCAUCGGCCGAUCGCAGGAUGGAGUUGACCUGCUUCAUCCUCAAGCCCUCGUCGAGGUGGUCCAGAUGGGUGCAGUGGAAGUUCACCUCCCCUGCUCCCGGCACAUCCACAGUGACCCUCAGUACGUUCCUGCUCUCUUGCACAAUACACUGUUCAGCUGUUUGUUAAUUACUAUACUUCCCCGUCACAAGUAGAUUUAUUUCCUUUUUUCACUACAUUUCUCGUUGUAUGUCAAAUACACACUUAUGAUCUUUGACAAACAUUUAUCUUAACAA